ensembl:lncRNA
CACCAGAUGCCAAGCCUCAUGUUCCUGGAAUUUGUGAGAAGGAAACACUGAGAAAUACAGUCUAUUUAACCCAGUACAAAUAUUUCAGCUGAGAUACUAAAGCACCAGCAGCCCUUUAUUCUGGAUGAGGACUUUGAAAUUCGGCAGAAGGUAAUGGUAAUUUGCCGCAGGUCUGAAGAGCCAAAUCCUGAUGCUGGUUUUGAUGUUGACCAUAUACUGAAGCCUUAGCAGGUUGAAACAAUAUAUCGACCAGUUAAUUAUCUAGUAGGCACAUCCUAUGCAUGACCAUCAGCCUGUGGUCUCGUAGACAAGUUGAUGUUUGGCUGCAUAUCAUACAUGCUAAUAAAGGGGACAAGUCUUUUCUGUCAGAGAAAUUUGUAGAAACAGACUUCUGAAAGCUCUUUUGGUUUCCAGGAAAAGAAAAAAAUAUUUUGUCAGAAAGAAUUGGGCUGAAUAUCUUCUCCUAAAUGGCUAAUAUAAAUAAGUUUUAAUUAUUUUUAUUGUGUGGCUUGAAAAGUUGCUUACCUGACUUCAUAUAAAAGAAUUUGAUAUUCAAGUGCUCUCUUCUUCUGCAUUAUGAAGACAGCAGCAAAUUUGACAUGUGGUACCUCAUCCAAAAACAUCAUUUCUUUAUAACUCAAAAAGCCCCAUUUCAGUUAACUCUUUUAAUGUUAUUUACAGUAGCCUCACACUGCCUAAUAGUCUAUUAGAACAAUAAAGUUGCUAUAAUGGGAUUUCCCAUUACAGUUUUGUGAUGGUUAUAAAUUGCAUCAACCUGUAACAGAAGCCUAUAUCUCCAGUCAUUCUGUUGCUGCAGCUCAGCUGGAAUUCAGCUGGUGCUGGCUGAAGUAGCAACCAGUCAGUCACAAGCCUGCUACCUCCUUGCCUGACCACCACUAUUCUGGCCACGUGACAUGCUGGGAUUAGGCUGGAAGCAACUAACUCUUGCCUUGGCUCAUGGCGGAUAACAGCAUUUUAUGGAUCUGAAUCUCUCUUGUUUUAGCCCUUAGGCAGUACUAGUAAGAAUUCAGAAAUGACCGAGAAAGUUGUAUAUGUUGUAUAUAUCAGUAGAAUAUGUUGCUUUUUAGACUUUAUAAUUUUAAAUGUGCCUACUGCAAAUGGCCUGGAGCUUCCAAUACAAAAGCUGUUGGACAUUUCUGCAGCCCUAAGGUACUGCACAGCUUCUGCAGUCCUAAGGGUCACAUUGCCAUAUGACUUUUCACGGAUUUGCAUACAAAUGUAUUUUUCUAAGAUUUGGUGAAGCCACAGGGGAACACAUUUAUUUGUAGGUGCCCAGGAAUAAGGGUCACAGCAGCAAUCUACCGAUUCAUGUUUAAUCCAUCGCUAAGGCUUAUUCACAACAAAAGAUUUGACAAGUUAUCCUGACCUAUGUAAAACCAUUUUGGUGCAAGAGUUUUUAAUCAAAUAAAAGGCGAGGCUUUGUUUCAAAGUACUGGUAGUUAACAAGCUACAAAAAAACAAAAUAAGCAAAAGGGCUUAUUCGUCAUGAAGUGAGUUUCCUUAUGCAGGGUCAUACUGAAACAAUUAUAUUGAUUUCAAGUUCAUGCCUUAAUAUAUGUUAAAAAUCUCAUGACAGUAGACUGGUUUUGUUCACCCCCCAAAAGCAGACCUUUCUUAUAGUUUAUCCUCUGAAUUUAUGUUGGAAAACUGCAGAAAAAUGAAAGAACACAUUUCAUCUUCAGCUGGUAUUUCUUUAUUUAAGCAAUGCACUACUUGUUAUAUGUAGUAGUGGCUGAAACAACUUGAAGUUAAGACAUGUCAGCUGACUGUGUUUCGUAUAAUUCAUAUUUCUUCACAUCCAUUGGUUAAUAGGAAGACAUUUUAGUCACAGCAAAGUUUAUUUUGAAAUAAACUGGUAAUCUGAAAG